CAAACAGUGAGAUCAUGAAGUCAGUUGCUUAACCGACUGAGCUACCCUGGCACCCCUGUCAGUCUAGAUAAUUCUAUCUGCCCAGGAGUAUUUCUGAUUUCGGUAUCUCCCUCCUUCCCUUCACCUCCAUUGCAUUCUCUUUAGGGCUCCAGGAUGGUCUUUCCAAAUAUGCAUCUCAUCAGGAGAUGCCUCUGUUUACAAACCUAUAGUUCCUUAAGGAUCCAUAGCGUUAGGUGAAAAAAAAAUCAUACAGCAGAACAUGAGGAAUAAUCCCAAUAUUAGUAAAAAUAACACAAAGGCACAUAAAUGCACACACACUAUAUCAAAAUGUUGGUAGUGCUUCUCUGUUAUUGCUGAGUCAUGGUACCGGGAUGAGUUGUUUUUUCUUUUUCUUUUUUUUUUUGCUUGCUCUUAUUUUCUGUACUGACCAUAUGUGACUUAAGUCAUGAGGCAAGAAUAUUAUUGAAAAAUAAACUGAUGGGGUAAAAAAGGAGCUGACUUAAGUAACUUUGGAAAAUAACGUUUUUACUAGAUAUUAUAAGGCUAAAAACAAAAGGACUAUACAUAAACACUGUACUCUGGCUGGUAAAUUCAUUUCUCACAGGAUUAUGGGUUAGCAAUUCUGAAACUCCACAAACACACAAGGGCUGAGUGGACAUGUAAAUAAACUAUAGACAACGGGAUCCAGGUUUCCCACUGUCAGGGAUAGAAGUGACACAUAAGCAAGUGGAGAAGGCAGGAAUAAGCCCUGUGGUGCAGGCCUGGGAUUGGAAACAUCGGUUCAAACUCACAUUUAAUUUACUAUUUAGACAGAUCGAUAGAUAAAGAAAUAAUUACAGGCAUGUGUGUAUACAUGUAUAGAUCUCCCUGCUCUGUCCUUAGGACCUGAAGCAGUAAAACUGUCAUAUAACAGCAAGCAUACCCAGCACCUAGAGUUUGGAUUCCAGAUGUCAUUUUCCAACAAAAAGAGCCAAGUCUCCUUGGAGAAAUGUCUGAUUUCAGUCCUGGGUCAGGGAAAAUCCAAGUGAGAAUUAAGGUCAGGAGAUGAGAGCAAGGAUAGUCCAAAAGUUCUAUGAAGAUAUAAACAUGUCAAAGAGACCCAUUACUUUUGAGCUCCUUCUAUUAGGCCGUGUUGAUUUUCCAGAGUCUCACUUGAAUGGAAUGAACAGAGGCAAGAAUUCGGUUUGGGCUUGAGAAGGAUUAUCCAGCAGACCUGGGGUUACUACUCCAUUGUCUUUCACCUCCUCCUGAUAUUUAAAAACAACAACAACAACAACAACUGAGAAGAGGAGUCUUUUGAAGGAACAAAGUGUUCACUUUCUGUCUUCAUCUCCUCCAUUGAAGGAAAGAGAGGGAGGUCCAAGAGAAUCGUUCAUAAACUUGGGAGUGGCUAAGGAAAGGCAGACUGACUCUUUAUUCCAUGGUUGAAUAUCUGCUUAUAUAGCAGAGCUGAUGAACUACCUCUGAGCUGUCAGUGGACCACACACUACUUCGGGACCUCAUGUAAACUCACCUUCAAAGUAUUGCCACAUGUUGCCAAGGACAACUGGUUGAGCCAUUGCCGCAUUUGGCGAGCCAUGCGGUCUAAAACUUGACAACAGCAGCCCAUGGGAGUAUGUGUUUCUAAAUUGCACAAGGACUCUGUCAGCUCACCAGGUGUGUGCCUGUGAGGUGAUGAAUGCUCAAUGCUCAGCAGGAGCAUCUUUUCCUAAGUUGUAUAAAGGUGACCCCGCACUUUUUAACUGUCCCUUGCCCCCACCCUGGUCUCUCUUAAUUUCAAAUUCUUUUGUACAUGGCUGACAAAUCAAUUUCUUUUUUUUUACCUGAAGGAAAUUUCUUUUUGUACAUAAAAAAAAGACACCCUUAAGGGCACCAGCAACAUCACAUAUAUUGGGUGUUUCUGUAGAGGGGCUGAGCAGAGACUCAGCCUGGACAUACAGUGAAAUAAAAUCUUCCUAGCACCGUGAUUCUCGAACUUUAAUGUGUACACAAAUCGCUAUCAGAUCUCAUUAAAAGGCAGAUUCUGUUUUGGAAGAUCUGGGUGGAGUGUGAAAUUCGGCAUUUCUAACAAGUGCUUACGUGGUGCUAAUGAUGCUAGUCUGAGGACCACACUUUAGCAAGCAAAUUUCAUUGAAUUCUCACAAAGAUCCCUAUGAGAGAACAAGCAGGAGAGGGGCAGAGUGAGAGAGAGAGA